AGGACGAACGCUGGCGGCGUGCUUAACACAUGCAAGUCGAGCGGAAAGGCCCUUCGGGGUACUCGAGCGGCGAACGGGUGAGUAACACGUGAGUAAUCUGCCCUUAGCUCUGGGAUAGCUCCGGGAAACCGGGAUUAAUACCAGAUACGACCACACUAGACAUCUUCCGUGGUGGAAAGAAUUUCGGCUAGGGAUGAACUCGCGGCCUAUCAGCUUGUUGGUGAGGUAACGGCUCACCAAGGCGACGACGGGUAGCCGGCCUGAGAGGGCGACCGGCCACGACUGGGACUGAGACACGGCCCAGACUCCUACGGGAGGCAGCAGUGGGGAAUAUUGCGCAAUGGGCGAAAGCCUGACGCAGCGACGCCGCGUGGGGGAUGAAGGCCUUCGGUUGUAAACCCUUUCAGCAGGACGAAGCGAAAGUGACGGUACCUGCAGAAGAAGCGCCGGCUAACUACGUGCCAGCAGCCGC
rnacentral:rRNA from 1 species